rnacentral:tRNA from 1 species
UGGCGGAUCGUCUAAUGGUAGGACAACAGUUUUUGGCACUGUUUAUCUAGGUUCGAAUCCUGGUCCGCCAGCCA